UACGUAGGGGGGCUAGCGUUGUCCGGAAUCAUUGGGCGUAAAGCGCGCGUAGGCGGCCCGGUAAGUCCGCUGUGAAAGUCCAGGGCUCAACCCUGGAAUGCCGGUGGAUACUGCCGGACUAGAGUUCGGAAGAGGCGAGUGGAAUUCCCGGUGUAGCGGUGAAAUGCGCAGAUAUCGGGAGGAACACCUAUGGCGAAGGCAGCUCGCUGGGACGUUACUGACGCUGAGACGCGAAAGCGUGGGGGAGCAAACAGG
rnacentral:rRNA from 1 species